AGCACAUGCCAACAAAACUAGGACAGCCAUGAAGCAAAUAACAGGAAAUACUUCUAAAAACACGCCGAUGCCCUCUUGAUGGCAGCUCCUCUGCUACAUGACCUUCACUGAUGUCACUCAGUGAAGAAUACACAAGGACUUGGGCCUGGAAUCCUGGCUGGAUUCAGGACACUGCUUUAGAUACCGGGUUAUAUUUAACUUGUGUGGCCAUAUUUUCCUCUGUGUGGAAUUUGGAGAGAAUGCUACAAAGCGCUGUGGUGGAAACCGCCACGAUUCAAGACGUUACACAACCACCUCGCCGUGGCAGCUGCGACACGCCCAAGAGAGGAUCGAGGGGCAUCUUGUUCCGUCAAUAGGGAUGGGACCACAUACAAGAACGUGAACAGUCAUCUUACCCACAUGUCAAGACAACCCUCUAUGAUUCCAGGAGCGUGAGCCAAAGAAGAUUCCAUGCACUUAAGCUCCAUAGUGCAUGAUCAAGCUUACAACUCCAUGUACAGAAGGUAUUGCUCAACCACCAACCCCACCCCCACCCCCCUGCUCCGUUUAGCUUGAGAGGAGACAUCUCGCAUGUCACAGCAAAGGCAGCCAAAGUGUCGGCACUGCAGAAAAGCACCCUCCAUUUCACUGCGCUAGCUGCCAUCUCGGAACGGAACUGUGACACCACCAUUUCAUGGGUCUCAGGUCUCCACUGCCCACUCGCUCAGGGGAUGCUGCCUGCCUCACAGCGAAACCUUGGGGGGGGGGGGGGGGGAAAUAAUUCUGAUGGAAACAUGAGCUAAUUUCUUUUCUUUUUUGUGUUCCGUCAUCCUAUUAAAAUCCUGAGAGGACGGUGUUGGAGAUCCUUGCUGAUUAGUCAGAGACGCGUCUCAAGCUAUAGCAACAAAACAAAACACGUCGAUACAACGGCAGACAUGAAAAUACGAGCCCAUUUCCUUUCUUGUUUUCGACUGUCACAAACAAAAGGUCAAAAAGCAGAAAUGAAAUUGGAUGAGGCAGAUGGCCACUGAUCUUCUUCAGAGGUUCAGAUCUGCUCCGGGAAACAAGGUACCCAAGCUUCUCCAAUACAUUACUGAGAAUUUUUUUAAAAAGAAAACAUUUACGUAACAAAUCAAGAAAUGAAAGGCUACUGUAUGAUAGGUUUGCCCUGAGAAGUUAUCAUACCGGGCUUUAACAACAAUUUUCAGGACGUUUCAAAGACAGCAUCAGUUACCUUUCCAAUCCUCUUCACCAACACAUUAAACAAACAAUAAAUAUUAAAUGAAGCUAACAAGCUAACUUGCAGGUUGCGGAUCAUAUAACUUCAGCACAAAAAGUAGGCCAUCUGUCAAAAGUUGAAGCUGAAACGGAAAAAUGGAUCUUACAGGAUAACCACCAAAAAAGAAGAAUCAAAAAACAACUGAGGGGGCUUCAGAAGGGUCAAAGCGAAUCCCAGAUGCACGGACAACAGAAAAGCACUACUGUAAUUAUUUGUGAUUUCGCAGUGUUUUGUUAAAUUUCAUCGUCAUAAUCCAAUGACAAUAUUUAAAAAUACCAAAUAUGCAUGCACAAAAAUUUGAGGGUAUAUUUUUCCCCCACAUGACUGGAUACAUAAAACGGCAUCUAAAAAGGCAUUACUGCUGCAUAUUUUACCAAAAUUAAAAAUAUGAAAGACGUUACAAGGUAUAUGGUGUUCGGACCAACUAAACAUUAUACAGAUUUACAUAAAGGUUUUAGAAGAGUGGGCAGCAUGAAUACUGCAGUAAUUAUAUCCAUUGUUCUCUCUGCGUAGAGAACAUGGACCCAAAAACACAUAGACCUUCACCAGAAUAAAUUCUUGCAAAUUCCAAACCUACUGAAAAACUUCUACCCAGACUGUUGGCUGGCAUUCAAUACUGAAACAGAGAAGGACAUUAAACAGAAAACAUACAACCAGGAAGCAUGUUCGGACCUUGGAAAAACGCUCUGUGAAAUGAUCUCAUUCCAACCAUGUGCAACUCAAUUUGGGAACAUGUCCAACCACUGAACCAUCACAUCAGGGCUCUCCACAAAACGACCCUGCAUUGUCGUGAGAAAUCCAACACUGAUUUCGAAGGACACAAUUUCAGCUUCUUUUACAUGUUGCAAUAUAUUUAAAACUAUUUCAGUAUGAUGACGGCAGAGAACCAGCAGUGAUUAAAUAAUGAUGAAAUUUUUAUUAAAUGUGAGAAAAUCGUGUACUGUAAUUACUUAGCUGGUAAAGACUUGUCUUUGCAUAUGGACGUGCAUGUACUUUAAAGAUUUACAAUUCUUUGGUGGGGAAAAAAACAACUGGUUCUGCAAUGGUAAUAGAAUUUUUUUCAGUACAAUAUACUUCAUGCAUAUGUUUGUUUAUUGGGGUUGUUUUUUGGAGCGGCACUCCAGUUAAUUGUCGCAUAUUGCCUUCAGUGUUUUAGGAGUGUAACGAGAUCUCGUGUCAGCAGAUCUCGCGAUAUUACAACAUGACGAGAUUUCUCGUUGCAGGAAAAUCGGUCUCGCGAAGGCGCUGCAAAUCAGCUGCUGCAAGCAUGUUAGCGUCUAAUGAAAAAUUACCAUAGUAGAUGCCCGGGACACUUAAAACUUUUGUGUGGCAGCAUUUUGGGUACCCGGCGGAAAAUAUAAAAAUCGGUGAAUGGGUGACAGACGAAACACGAACCAUUGUAGGAAGAUAAUGCCGAACACAGCGGUUAACAAUACUACUAUGCAAAGCCAUUUGCAGCACCAUCAUAGCUCUUUACUUAAAAGCACUACACCGGUAAAGAAAACAUAAAAAAUUUUGUUUGUUAUUUGUUUUAUGUAUAUUCUAUUUUAUGUUCAGUUGAGAAAUCAAAUGGGAGAGAAGCCCGUCGUUUGAGUUUGUAGCGAAGUAUUUUAUGGUGCUAGAUAUUUGUUCUGUUCUUUACUGCAUAUGAUGGCGAUUAUGUAACAUGUCGCCAUACAUCUGCAUUAUUUAGCAUUUUUUGUCUUUCAAAUCAAUCAAAUAAAAGGCUUCUUUCCAGUAA